rnacentral:rRNA from 1 species
GGAAGUAAAAGUCGAACAAGGUCUCCGUUGGUGAACCAGCGGAGGGAUCAUUACCGAGUUUUCAACUCCCUAACCCUUCUGUGAACCUACCUAUCGUUGCUUCGGCGGACUCGCCCAGCCCGGACGCGGACUGGACCAGCGGCCCGCCGGGGACCUCAAACUCUUGUAUUCAGCAUCUUCUGAAUACGCCGCAAGGCAAAACAAAUGAAUCAAAACUUUCAACAACGGAUCUCUUGGCUCUGGCAUCGAUGAAGAACGCAGCGAAACGCGAUAAGUAAUGUGAAUUGCAGAAUCCAGUGAAUCAUCGAAUCUUUGAACGCACAUUGCGCCCGCCAGCAUUCUGGCGGGCAUGCCUGUUCGAGCGUCAUUUCAACCCUCGACCCCCCCUUGGGGAGGUCGGCGUUGGGGACCGGCAGCACACCGCCGGCCCUGAAAUGGAGUGGCGGCCCGUCCGCGGCGACCUCUGCGUAGUAAUACAGCUCGCACCGGAACCCCGACGCGGCCACGCCGUAAAACACCCAACUUCUGAACGUUGACCUCGAAUCAGGUAGGACUACCCGCUGAACUUAAGAUAUCAAUAAGCGAGGA